CAGUUCCAGGUUCACCUGAGGUUUCGGCAGCAGCGUGCAGAGCUGCUGCCAUGUGUAAUUAACACCCGCAGUUAUUCUUACAGAUGGUUCUCUGAUUUUGUUCCCUAAUUCAUGCAAACCGAGCAUAGGUGGCAGGCCGUCCCACAGACUACCUCACAGUGAAGACAUGCUUCUGUCUCUUUCUCUGCCACAACCACUGACACAUCCCAUAGGAGGGCAUUAGUCUCUGAGCAGGUUGAAGCUGGAGAAGAAACAGCUAUUUUCGUGUUUCCAGCCAUAUUUCAGCCCUCUUUGUGGCAAGAAGGGACUCACGCUCCUGCCUUGGCAGCCUUGCUCCUCGGAAGCCACAGUUCAGGGCUUCAGAAUUUUAAGCUGCUUGGGAGAACGGGGAUAAUUAGCAACAAGGCCUAUGUAUUAAGAACGUGCAAUUAAAACGCACUGGGCUGUAAUUUAUGUCUUACCCUUCUGUGUGCGAUAAUUAAUGCGGUGAGAGGCUAUGCAUAGUGGAGCAGCGAGGAGCAGCGUGCUGGCAGGGGAUACCAGGACAACAAACCCAAGCAUAGGAGCCACAUUCUACCCCUGCACCCCUCGAUCCCAGAGCAGCAGGGUGCUGCAUGCCUGUUCUCUGAAUAUCAAAUACCAGAACAUCAGUAGGAAGGAGAGCGUUCAGGAAUAUUCCCUGUUCCUGUGGUGUCCAGCAACAGCUUCGAUGCAUUUGCAAGAGCCCAGCUCACUCCUCCAGAAGUGUUGUGGUUUCCAGCCAGCUCUGCUUAUGGUCAUCAGCCUCGGUUUGCCAAGGGGAGCAUCCCUGCCAGCAGCUGCAGGCAGCAGGGCAAGUGCCGAGCAGUGCCCAGGGCUGGUGGCUCGGCAUCUGGCUUCUGUGAAAGAUGUAAUUAGCAGCAAUCAUCACACAUGAGCAGCAGUACACUCGAGAACUGGCUUCAGAGCAAAGCCCUCUCGUGCGCCAGGGAAACCCAGCCCUGCACCUGCAGACGGCUCCCGCGGGGUGAACAGCGGGUGCUGCCGGGCUGUCUGCGAUCAGACACACAGAACAGCCGCGAUCCCUCCCGGAGUGCGCGGCCCCAGAGCUGCACGAAAGCCCCAUGUGGGGGCGGCUGUGCGCGCUCGGGGCUGCAGCAGCAGCAGCAGCAG
ensembl:lncRNA